rnacentral:misc_RNA from 1 species
UACCCCUCAAGCCUAGCUUGGUGUUGGGGCCUGCUAUCACCGGCAGCCCUUAAAAUCAGUGGCGGUGCCAUCUGGCUCUAAGCGUAGUAAUACUUCUCGCUACAGGGUCCCGGUGGAUGCUUGCCAUCAACCCCUAAUUUUCUAU